GAUGAACGCUGGCGGCGUGCCUAAUACAUGCAAGUCGAGCGAACAGACGAGGAGCUUGCUUCUCUGACGUUAGCGGCGGACGGGUGAGUAACACGUGGAUAACCUACCUAUAAGACUGGGAUAACUUCGGGAAACCGGAGCUAAUACCGGAUAAUAUAUUGAACCGCAUGGUUCAAUAGUGAAAGACGGUUUUGCUGUCACUUAUAGAUGGAUCCGCGCUGCAUUAGCUAGUUGGUAAGGUAACGGCUUACCAAGGCAACGAUGCGUAGCCGACCUGAGAGGGUGAUCGGCCACACUGGAACUGAGACACGGUCCAGACUCCUACGGGAGGCAGCAGUAGGGAAUCUUCCGCAAUGGGCGAAAGCCUGACGGAGCAACGCCGCGUGAGUGAUGAAGGUCUUCGGAUCGUAAAACUCUGUUAUUAGGGAAGAACAAAUAUGUAAGUAACUAUGCACGUCUUGACGGUACCUAAUCAGAAAGCCACGGCUAACUACGUG
rnacentral:rRNA from 1 species